rnacentral:rRNA from 1 species
GGUGGGUUUGUAAGUCAGAUGUGAAAGCCUUCUGUUCAACGGAAGAAUUGCAUCUGAAACUGCAAAUCUUGAGUAUAGGAGGGGAGAAUGGAACUUCUGGUGGAGCGGUGAAAUGCGUAGAUAUCAGAAGGAACGCCGGCGGCAAAAGCGAUUCUCUGGCCUAUUACUGACACUGAGUGUGCGAAAGCUAGGGGAGCAAACGGGAUUAGAUACCCCGGUAGUCCUAGCCGUAAACGAUGGGCACUAAGUAGAGGGGUUU